UACAGAGGUCCCAAGCGUUGUUCGGAUUCAUUGGGCGUAAAGGGCGCGUAGGCGGCGCGGUAAGUCGGGUGUGAAAUCUCGGAGCUUAACUCCGAAACUGCAUUCGAUACUGCCGUGCUUGAGGACUGGAGAGGAGACUGGAAUUUACGGUGUAGCGGUGAAAUGCGUAGAUAUCGUAAGGAAGACCAGUGGCGAAGGCGGGUCUCUGGACAGUUCCUGACGCUGAGGCACGAAGGCCAGGGGAGCAAACGGG
rnacentral:rRNA from 1 species